UGGACUUAUUCUGUGGUGUUUGAACCAACAAUACAGGGGAGCAUACUGAUAGCUGCAAAAAAUGCCUUUCAAGCGCAAAACCAAUUAACUCUGGGUUAAGAGAGGAGGAAAAUACUUGUAGGGAUAGUCAUGAAGAAGGCUCUGGAAGUGAGUAAUGAAUUCUCUUUCAAUGUCUAAAGUGAAGACUGGAAGGAGGUGCUUUGGAUUCAGCCAUCUUAUUUGAAACAGAGAAAAGAGCUGGUAAGUGAUAUUGCCAGUAGAACUUUCUCGUGACAAAAACACACAAACAGAAAAAAAAAAGCACCCAACAACCUUGUACUCAAAACUGCUUCUAUGUACAACAUGUGCUUCCAGCUGAGAGUGUUAACACUUUUUAUCUUAAGAGCUUGCAUGAUACUCUCAUUCUUAUUGUUGUACUCUUAGUUUUACUGAACUCUGUCUUGUGGAAACGUGUGUAGCCAACAUAGCCUGUUUUGCAAGUGUGUUAGAUGAUUGUUGCCUCUUUUUCCAUAAGUUAAAUGCUUUUUCUGUUGGAGUGAAGUUUAUCAUUUACCAGUAAGUCCUAUUCAUUUGUCUUUUCUUCCUUGCUUUCAGAAGGAAGCAAGCUUUGACACCAUUACUUUGUAAAUGUUUCUAGUGUUUUACCUGCUCUGCAAAUAAUUGCUGCUUGUGGAGUAUAAUUUAGUCUGAAGGUGAUGAAAAAUCCCUAUAUCCUUUCAGAAUCUCAAGGUAAAAACUCUAGGGAAACCACUCAUUUGCCAGAAUAUACUUUGAAUAAAAAAAACUAGUCAUCAAUCCAACUAGUUUUCAAGUAAAUGCAGAGUUUUAAAAAAAAAAAAAGUGGCUACAAGCACUAAAUAACUAAAUAUUGCUUAAGAAGCUUUUGAUCUAUUGCUUGUUAGUACUGUCAUGCAACACCAUGUUGCCCUUUCUUUCUGCCAGCUCAGCUGUUAGUAUGGUUACACCUGUGUGUUCAGGACUCAGUUGCUCUUAACCUAAAAGAGAAAGGGUUAUCUUUAAGCUGAAUUAUUUCAAAUAAUCAGUUCGUAAUGUGAUUUCACUAAGAGCUCUAUGAACACAACUGUAGAUAGUAAUAGGAGCCCUUUUAGUUAUCUUCACCAUCAAAGUCAUAGCUUAAGCUUAUCUUUAAGAAGAGGAGAUUCUAUUGUGUGAUCUAUAUGCCUUGCUAGAACUCUUGCAGUUUCAAAUGGUGCAUUGCCUCGAAAUACCAAAUGGGCUAUAACCCUAAAUGGAUUUCAGUGAAGGUAACAUUUGCUGUGAAAUGUUCAUACAGCUAUAUCACAUUCUGCUUCUUCUGUGAAAUCCAAGACAGAGUAUUUAAGGUGAGCUUGAUGUUAGAAGAAUAUCAGAAGAGAAGAGAAAUCUGGAAAAAUGUUAAUGGAGAAAGGGAUUAAGACUUCAGAUGAAAUCUCAAGUAUUUUCCACCAGAGGGUUGAUUGUCAUGGAGAAAACAGUCAAGCUAAUUUCCAUACAAUGGAAUAUGAAGAUGUGGCAGAGCCUCUGGAUCCUGAAGAUCUUCCUUGUCGGAUCUUGAAGAGCUUCCUUGUCUAGGAAGUCACUUACCUUCACAUAAAGGGUAUUCUGCAGUGCAGGAGACAUUAUAGCAAAAGAUGGAAAGUUCAGAUGUUUUCUCCAGAGGACUUAGUUUGAAAUUUUAGAGCCAACGGCUACUAUCCUGUCUCUGCAGUAUGGCAGUGGAAACCGCUUCCACCAACUGCAACAAUAAGGUCUCUUACACUGGAGUGCAGGAUCAGAGGAAUGCAGGACGUGGAUGAUUUUGACCACCACAUUGUGUGAGAAAAAU